AAGAAGCCCUGGGGCUGGGGCUGGGCUGGGCUGGGCUGGGCUGGGCUCGCUCGCCGGGCGCGCGGCAGGGCCGCCAUUUUAAGGAUGCAGCGAGGGGCGAAGCUCUCGCUCCUUACAUGGCGGCUGCUCGGCUGCGGGGCCGGCCAAUGGGGCGGGCGGUGCCAAGUCACGUGAGGUGCCACGACGGCACCGACAGCCAUUUCCUCGUUUCUGGAAAACUUCGGUGCCUCCGCCGAGCGCUUCGCCGUGUUUUCGGUGCCAAACGCUCUCUGCCGCAUGUGUGCCUCGCAGGCUGGCAUUUGUCCAUAAAGUUAUUUUAGUAGGUAAAAAGUCUCGGAGCGCUGGAGCUCUGUGCGUUCUGUAUGUAAAAUGGAUUUCCCUUGCUGGCCCCGGGCCAGGAGCGCGGAGCACGCGCUGGGCGAGGGGAGCGCGUCUCUGCAGAGGAACUGGUGGACUGACACACUCUAAUUUUUUGGCUCCUGACCAGACAAGCUAGAUGGAUGCCAAAAUUCAACAAAAUAACACAUUAUUGUGUAAUAGGAACAGCACUCAAAGUGAGCAAGAGCUCACAGGAACUGAAUACCAGCACUUUUUCCCCCUUUCUUUCUUUUUUUUUCCUUUCCUUUCUUUCCCCGUUGUACUGCAGAAGCUCAGAACUGGCACUUUUAAUAUACGACUUCAAUGGAACAAGGAAUAAAUAUAACCACAAUGUAAAGAAUGAGGAAUAAUGUACAAUCGGGAAGACGAAGGGGAGGAGAGAGCGAGGGAGGGAGCGGGAGAGCGAGACGGAGGGAGUUAAAAUUACUUUUGUGAGACUUCCUUCAAACAUGCUCCAUAGUGCUCAGGGCUGGUUUAACCCUGUCUUCCCUGCAGCAGAUCCCCAACAUGCCUCAUGCAUCCCUCUUUCUCCUUCAGUUCCAAUCCCCUCAAUAAACAAAUGCACACAUGUUAAGGGCAGCACCCAGCACUGCAUGCCAUUGAACCAGGGCUGUCAGAGGGUUUGGAAUCAGUGCAAAAAAAGUCUUCCUAGAAAAAAACUUUUUUUUUUCUGAUUUACCAUCUCUGAAAGAAGGAGAACAUGCAUGAAAUACUGUUUUUCCUACUCAAAUAACCAGCAUUACCUGGGUUUGUCAUUACUGUUCUCAUGCUGUGGUAGCACCUCCUAGCACCAACCCAACUUCACGGUAAUGAAGUAAUUAAGCUUCCCUGAGAAGCUGUGGCAUUCCAUACGUUCAUCUGCAAAAUGCAGGUGUCUCUGGGGCUGCACAUGGCAACUCUUGGAAAGUGCAAAGCAACACAAUAGGAAGUGAAAACUAACACAGCCUAUGGAAACUGCGAGGGGUUGUUGGGUCAGCAGCAUGUAAUUACAAGAGCUGGAAGAUGGCCAGAGUGAGGAUGGCCAUCGUGUCGGGGAAAGCCAUGUGCCCACACAGAUUGGGAACUUUUUGGUUUCAGAGCAGUCUGUUAACAUAGAAUUCAUGGAAUCCUAGAAUGGUUUGAAUUGGAAGGGACCUUAAGGAUCAUCUAGUUCCAACCCCCUGCCAUGGGUAGGGAUGCCACUCACUAGACUAGGUUUCCUGGUCCUGCUGGUGAGGAGACCAGGGAGGAAGAGCAUUCCUGGAGGGACUGUGGAGGAUGGGAGGGCAGAGUGUGCUCCCAAGGCUUGGCUCCCAAUCCCAGCCAGGCAGUGAUGGACGAACUUGCAAAGAGUGGGAAACAACCUUCCUCAGCCCUGAGACUGCAUCAUCCCAGAGCACAAAAUAAUGGCCAUAACCUUUUCUACCCUCAUUUUUUUCCUACCCUCUACAUCUCAUGGAGAUUUUCCCCCAAAUGCAUCAAAAUCCAUUGGAGCAUAGGCCGAUUACUGUCCUCUUAGUGCUCCUGUUGGAUUUAUCCUUCUUAUCAACCCUGUAUAUUCCUAAAACAGAUACUGUGGUAGAUUAUCACUAAGAUCUAAACCAGAGAGUUUGCUGGGAUUGCAUCUUGAAAUCUGUCUAAAGAGGGCAAAUACACAGUUCUCGUGCUGUAUCUCAGGUUUGAUCUGCCAAAGAGGAAUAAAGAGCCUGUGUCUCCUUGUUACUUUAUUAAAAAAGCCUACCAUAAGGAUUUGAGGAAUUUUGAGUACUAUGGUUGCUAGAUUUUAACAUGAGGGAUGCAAGUAACCACCAAAGGUGCUGUUUUGGGUUGAAUCCCAAUUGUGCUGUGCACCACUCCUUCCUAUUGUCCCUGCUCUGAAUUGCUUCCGGGCAAGAAUAAACCAAGGUAAACAAGCUGGUUUGGUGUGUUUGUGGCCUUGGGGAAAACAAACCAUAUUAAUGAUAUGUUAUAUUAUUUAAUUAGAUUUUUUUAAUGCCUUAUCAAGUACAGAAUAGAAAAUGCAAAAUAAAUAGUAAAUAAAAAAUAAUGAUAUGGGAGUUGGAGUCAUCCUGGUGUGCAAUAACAUUAAGUGUGGCUGUAAUUAUGGUUUGGACUUUCCAUGGUAAAAGCAAAUUUUUUUUGCCUCAUAACCGGUUUUAUAUCCUUCUGGAACAAAGUAAAAAAGUCUUCUGGCAGUUUUUUAAUUGAGGUUUUGUAGCUUUGAUGAUCCGAUGCUAUAAAGAAGUCAACCCUUCUGCCAGUUUUUUAAGGCCAGAUAAGGGUUUGCCAUCAUGUUCAAGGCGUUUUUCUCUGGCUACAUGUAUCCACAUGCUCCUUUCUCUUUCCUCUUUGUCUCUGGGACAGGGAAUAGGAGACCUUCAGAGCAAAUAUAGGAUUCAGGGACGUAAAAUAAGUUGUUCUGCCCUUUGUAUAUUUGAAUUUUUUCUCUCUGUAGAGCUUGCUGAAUAUACCUGUGGUAUUAUAAAAGUGAACCGAAGUGCUAAUAGGACAUUUCUGGGGAUGGGUUUAUGCAGAUGAGAGUUAUGAUGGAACCACAAAUACCAGCAGCACUUCAGAGGCUCUGCUGCUGCCCCACCAUUGGCUUUUCAGAGCAAACCCUUUCCCCAGCUGGCAGGGAAAUACCUGGGGCUCUGCUCUGAAGCUGAGGCUUCACAGCCAGGAGCGUGUUAGAAGUUAAUACAAAUUACAUGAGCUUUACACCCAGAGCCCUGACUUGCCUUGGGUUACCAUUUUGGCACAAAGGGUUCAGGGAACAUCCAGCUCUGCAAUGGAUCCGCUCUGUCCGGUGUCCAGCUUUGCAGCACAUCCGUCUCAUGGUAUGCUCCAGGAAAGAAUUGGCUUUUGGUGCCUUAAAGAAAUAAGAAAGCUAUUAGAAACACCCAAACAAACAAACUCCCAAACCAGCAAAAAAGCAAUAAAUAAGGGGUAAAAACCUUAUAGGGGAACACAGGGCUGUUGGUGGUUUGCCCUGUCUCUGAGUAACAUCAGGCAAUAAUGUGGCACAGUUAAAGCUGUUACACAGUGUGGAUGUCAUGGGACUGUCAUUGAACCAGUGUAAACCCAUUGUCUUCAGAGCUUAGUUUUCAUGGAUGUGAUGGGGAAAUCUUGUAUUACUUCUCUCCUGUUUGUUUUUUUUUCAAUGUGUUAAUAUGUUCACUUAAAUAAAAAACACUUUAAGAAUUGAGGAAAAAAAAUAGCCCAGGUGCAGUAACAAUAGCUGAUCCCAAACAAACAGCAAUUCACUCUUGCCACUCUGCAAAGAUAAAGCAUGUCAUGUACAUUAGCAAAAGAUAACUGACAUUAACACAGUAGGCAAGGUGAUUACGUACCACACUAUUGACUCUGCGCACUCAUUACUGCUAUUUGGUGGGUUGCUUAAGUGGGUACCUGAAGGUUAAGUAAUAACUGUAGCAGGAAUGAGAGGGAAGCAGAAAGAAAGAGAGAAAGGGAAAAGAAGAGAGAAAACAUUGACACAAGGUUAAAAUGGAGGAAAGUGGAUAAGUGGGGGUGUGGAUGUCUGAGGAGAAAGGUGAGGUGGCUGCGCCUUGGUAAGUGAUAUUUAAAGGCUGGUGUGGUUGAAUAAAUAAUGCACCCAGUUGUGGUUUCUUUGAUAUUUUUAUGUUUGUAAAAUAACAGAAGGAAAACACAACUUUGGGGUAAACCCGUGAUUCUGAAAAAGCCAAAAGAGAAUCACAAUCUAGAUUUUCCAAGAGGUGUUCUCCCUCCUCAGCUUUCAACAAAAUCCAAGAGAGUGCAAGGUCGGGAUAUAGAGGUUUUUUUGAAAACCAACCGCCUUUUAACUCAUCUACAUUUUUUUUCUGCGAGCCUUUGAAAAUGCUUUGUUUAUUUUCAUACUCAGAGUGUGCACGGCCAGAGAAUUCCUGAGUCUUCCUUGCACGGCUCGGCUCCAGCACUGUGAUGGGAGUCGAUGGCACGGCUCUCACAGCCCACAGUUAAGGGCACUCGCAGGGCUUAGUUAAGCCAUUGACAGCAACUCUUUGGGGUGUUGAGAUCUUCCUGUCCAUGUGGCCUCUUUUCCUAUGGAAUGCAUUUCUGACAUUAUAAUAUCAUGCUGCAGAAUCAAGUUUAAUUUCAAACUGUAUUAACCUAUUUACAAAACAUAUCAAGGGGACAUUUUUCAAGGGAAUAGUUCUCUUCUUUAUAUAGAUAGAGAAAUAAAAUACUUCUUUUAAUAUUGCAUUCUCCAGGCACUAGGACUAACUAUUUCCCUGGAAUUAAUAUCUAAAAGGGAGUCAUUGCAAAUUUUAUAUUGACAUGCAGAACGCAACAUUAUGGCUUUUUAGGGUGGAUAUGCACAAAAUACGUAUGUGCAUUCCAAACUAGCUAAUAGCUUUGCAACUGGUGAACAUAAAUUUUAAUAUCUAUACUUCCCAGCUUGUAGUGGUGUUGUCUGAAGUCUGGGAUGACUGAUGUUAAUCUCCAACUUGUUUGUAGCUUUCCAGAAAAUGAACUCAAAGUAGAAUAAAAUGUGGUGUAAUUCCCAUUCAUAUUUAAAUUUAUUAUAAAAAGUGCAAUGUGAGAUCUGUCCUAUGUGCUCCUGCUUAACCAAACUUUAAAAUGUAGCUGUAUUCUUGCAUUGCAAAAGGAGGAAUAUGCACAUAUGUUAGCUGUUAAAUGGGUUGCUGUUCUUAGGGCUUGCACUUAGAUGCCUCCCCUAUCAUAAAUUCAUCCUCCUGUGCCCUGAAGUUUGGAGCUUUCAAACAUUAAGCAAAACAAAGGAAAGGUGGAGGUGAUGGUGCCAUCUUGAUUUCUUUUUGGGGAGCAGCAUUUGGAGAAUGGUAUCUUAUUAAGACACAUAGGAGAAUUCUAGAAUUUCAUUUUUACUAUUUCAGUUAGACUGAAAUUACACAAGCCUUGUAGCUGAGAAUUUUAUAGGUAAUUCCUUUGAAGACAGAGGAUGAAAGCCUGACUUCUCCAAAGGAAAGAGGAAUUUCUACUGUUGAUCUUGAGCUGGCUCCGAGUUGCUUCCUUGGUCUGUCCGUGGAGUAAGUCGUUAUGCAGUAAGUGCAGUGCUGCCUGGUGUAUCCAAAUCCAUGGCUUUUGUUAGGCUAAGGCACGUUUCAUGGCAACAUAAUGAUUUGGAGCCAAAUUUCAGAGAUGCUGAACCCCCCUCCUUUCCCCCCGCCACUUGCAUUCAGGUCAGUGAAGCCGAGAGUCGAACCCUUCCAUACAAGCUGCGUAUCAGAUGGGAAUGAGGCAACGGCUUGGGACGUGCAGGAGUUUAUUGGGUGUCUCUCUUGUGCUGUAGUUUUAGCCAUGAGCGCUGGAUUUGUUUGAGAGCAAACAGAGACGCACUAAUUGAUGAGAGUGUUAUGCAAAUAAAAAAGAGAAAUGGGAUGGGUAAAAUAAAGGAACUGUAAAACACUUUAUUAUGCCUGGAAAGCCAAGCUAAUCCCAGAGGAAUUCUGCUAGGAUAAAAUGUUAGCUGCUUGGACAUUUUAAGCCUUUGAGAGUUGUCUUGGAAUUUUCUUUUUCAUUUACUUUUGUUACUUUCUUAGAUCAGUCUACAGAAACGCGGCUUACAUUUUUCUCCCUCCCUCCUUUGCUUCCCCCCUUGGCUGGAGGUAACUCAGCCCACGCUUGGCUUGCAGGGGAAAUGAAAUGGUUAAGCAAGUUGAACCUCAGGUGCUUUGUUCUUGCGCUGGAUGCCUGCUGCUGGGAGGCAGGCAGGAACUCCUCACGGACCGCAGGGCUCCUGCUGAGAGCGGAGACUUUGCUUACCCUACAAGACCACAAAACGAGCGGCUGCUGGAGUAACCUGAGUGCACUGCAGAGCCUGAAGUGGGGCAGAAAGUGGGUCCAUUAGCUCAACUCCUUUUUAGACCUUUUCUCUUGCUGUUUCUCCCACCUUUCAUGGACUUUCUCCUUCUUUCACCUCAGAUGGGUAGGCAGGCAGGCUGCUUUAAUGAAAGCAAUACUGUGUCAAGAGGGAUUGCUGGCAGAACCCUUCCCAGCCAGUCUGACCUAGCACCUCAGCAAUGUUCUUGGCUUUGGCCAGCAACAGCUUGAAAACCCAGGUCUGUUUCUGAAUCCAGAUGGUGGUGCGUUGCCAUAUGUCAACAACACAUGUCAUCCUGAUUAAAAUUUUAACCACAUCCAUUCUGCCAUCCCCAUAAACCAUCCUCGACCCACUGUGUGGCAAAGGCUCCUUCCACGCUGAUCCCGUUCCUCCAGCAGGAACGUGCUGUUGGCAUCAGUGCAGGCAAAGCCAUUGCUUCUGCAGUGGUAUCUGCCUUCCCAUCCAGCUCUGUGCCUGCAAGCUCCACCUGUGAGGGCGCGUUGUCCUUAUCAGCACUGCUGGAACAAGGUCUUUGCUUCAACUGACUCUGGAGUCAGGCUUUAAGUGUUGAAACAGAAAAGGGAAAAAAAAAUCCCCACCAACCCUAACUUAUUUAAUCACUUGUUAGGGCCUGUUGAGUUGUCUGUUAGGAAGUGGCCUGCCCAGCCUUGGAAAGAGAGAUAAUGUAUUCCUGUUGAAACACAACCUUGUCAGGUUGCCACUGAAAGGCGUUUUGAAGUUGCUGAUAUGUAGAAGACCAACCUGGGCUGUUCUGUAACUGGGGUGAAUGCAGCUCCCUUUACCUUGGUUUCUCAGAUCUGAGGUGCAGCCCAUUCCCUACAUCAUGAACAUGAAUCCCAGCACUUCCUGGAGCAGGGAAGCGUCCUUCAAGGGGUUUGCACAGAAAAGCUCUUGUGCUUUUUUUUCCCUUUGUUCUAAGAGACAGUAUCAGUGGGCAGCAGGGACAGGGCAUGCUAUGUGCUGCUAAAUUCAGACCUGGGAUCUCACUCCAAUCAGUCCUUUGGAAACUGGGAUAACUUGUGAUGUGGAAGUGGUUUCCCCAGCUGUGCCUCUCAGUUCUUUCAUAUCUCAGCUUUGUUUCUGCAACAGCUUCCCCUCUGCCUAUAGGUAAUGCUCACAAAACAUUUAUCCCUUUGGCUAAUUUCAUUCCAGUAUGACAGACAGAUAAAAGCUUUCAAAGACACCAAGUUUCUACUUUUGUUUGUUUGUUUGUUUAAAAUGGUGGCUGAGCAGGGAAGAGACACCCCCACCCAUAUUCUUCCAGGAGGAACGUCUGCAGGGUGAGCCUCACCUUUGUCUGUCCGGCACAUCCAUCGACAGACACAGAGCUUGGAAGCAGCCACACACAAGCUGCCUCUUGCUCUUCCAGAUGUGAGGGCCAGAGGUCGGGAAGGGAGGAAUUGCAGGGAAGGGGAAGAUGAAUCAUAAAGGAGUUGGGGGAGAAGCGCAGGAUGUUGUCCUGGAAGGAAUGAAGACAUGCGAUGCGAAUCCUCAGGAAACAAGGCUUUGUUUUCUCUGAUGGUUGUGGAACAGUUCAUCUUUCUGAGGAGAAGAGAGGUGACAGAGGAGAGGAAAGAAGCUGAAAUGUCUUCUGGCUAUUAAAUAUUUUGGUUUAUAUAUGUGUAUUUUCCCCCAACUCUCUGUAGUAUGGUGAAUCUUACAACCACUUUUUUGAGCUCUGUUCUGGUUAGGGCAUAGAAUUGUAGUAUUAAAAUGUCUGAUCCGGAGCUUGUGGAAAUUGGGAAAACUGGUGGUAGACAUCAGUUGCUGUAUCUGAACUUGUUUAUGGCCUGGGAGAGUUGUUUUAAAAACUAUGUUGCUCCAGUCCCCAAGGGGAAUGUGGGAUAUUCCCCUUCUAAACAUAGAUAGAGCUUGUGUGAGUAAUCUCCUAAAUCACUGCAAAUUAAUAGUGCAUUAUGAAUCUUGUAAGAAUUAACCUUCUCAUUUCAUUUGGAGGAAAAAAGAUGUUUUGGAAGCCAAGGAUGCUGAAGUGCUGACCUACUCUAAGGUUUGGGACCAUGUGCAGCAGUCACUUCCAAGCUUGGGUCUCUCCAUCACAGAAACAGAAGUGGCAUCCUUGCUCCAAAGAGGAGCCAAAGGCAGCACUUGGACUGGAGAUAGGAGUUUGGACAAGAGCUUGUAGGGAAUGAACCGUGCCCUACCUGCUAUUGCCAGUUUGUGUUUCUAGAGCAGGAACCUCCAAUGCUGUCUUCAUUUUCACAUUAUGAGUCAUAGAGAUAUAAAAUACAGAACUGACGAGCUAUCUGAAAGAAAAAACCCAAACAUAGAGAACUUCUCUAGUAUAUUGUGCACGACUGCCUGCACAAGGAAAGGGAUGUAUUUGGAUCUCAUUUUUCUGGGCAGUCACAUUUUUUCAAGACAAUGCCAAGAGUAUUCUUUCAGUUCUCUUUCAGUGACCGAGUGCCGGUGGGUAGAGUGCCAGUGGAGAAAGAUGCUAUUUAUGCAGCAGAGCUCGUUGCCGUUUUUUAUUUAGUAUAUAUUUGUACCAGCUAUUGAGUUAGAUUCCUGGCUAGCGUAACACAACACAGCUCCGUUGGCUCCUGUGAUUUCCAUAGUUCAGAGUCUGGCAUAUGUUUUCCUUUCAAUGUAUAUUGACUGCCCGGCCUGUUAAAACUCUCCUGCUAAACCUACGCUGUUGUGUAAUACACUGUUGACUUUUUGCAGGGCUGCUAUGAAUAGCGCCGGAGGAAAUGAAGUAGCUGUGAGGAUGACUUUUCUUACACUAUAUAAAGUCUGCUCUAGGUUGAUACAAAAUGUAAAUGGCAAAGUUAGAUGUGGAGCCUACGUCUAGUGGAGAAAUCAUAGAAAUGUUUGGGUUGGAAGAGACCUUAAAGCCCAUCUUGUUCCACCCCCCUGCUUUAGGCAGGGACACCUUUCACUAGACCAGGUUGCUUCAAGCCCCGUCCAACCUGGCCUUGGACACUUCCAGGGAUGGGGCAGCCACAUCUUCUCUGGGCAACCUGUGCCAGGGCCUCACCACCCUCUGAGAAAUCAGCUUUGAUGAAGUCCAGCCUCAGUUUUGCCUCUGACCUGCUCAGGGAUUUGGGGACCUGCCUGUGUUUCAGUUUCCUCUUCCAUGAAAUGGCAUUAAUGUGUGAGGAUUAAUUAGUCAGUGGAUGGCAAACCCUGGAUUUUGUAAAUGCUGGUGUAACUGCUUCAAAAACUUCCUUUUCUGGGUUAAAAGGAAACAAGCCUAAGGAUUAUCAAAGUCUUAAGCAAUAUUGUUGGAUAUUUUUUCAGUGACGCAAAUACAGAUCUCAUUUUUAAAAAGAUCAGAAUGGACGUUGAUGGUAAAUAAAAUCGCCAGCCAAUAACUUGCAGCGAUUAAAACAAAUUUGAUUAAGCAUUAACUGUAGAGAAACCUUCUCAGAGACAAGUCAAGACUGUAACCCUUGGCUUAUGGCUCUCAGUCUGAGUUUCAAAUAUAUGCAUGUAUUCACCAUCCACCGAAUACAUGCUGCUGGGGUGGAUCCCUUUGGGGCACAGGGUUUGGGUGCUCUGCAGUCACAGUGAGGAAAGAUGGGAUCUUAUUCCUUGUGUCCCAGACCAGGACACUUAGAUAUAUGCUGGGAUUGUUCAGCCUGGAGAAAAGGAGGCUCAAGGGGGAUCUUCUUGCUCUACAACUCCCUGAAAGGAGGGUGGAGCCAGGGGAAGGUCAGGCUCUGCUCCCAGGGAACAAGUGACAGGACAAGAGGAAACUGCCCCAGGUCAUGGCAGGGGAGGUUUAGAUUGGAAAUUAGAGGAAAUUUCUUCACAUAAAGAGUUGUUGGGCAUUAGAACAGGCUGCCAAGGGCAGUAGUGGAGUCACCAACCUUGGAAGGAUUUAAAAUGUGUAAUGUAGCACCUGGGGACAUGGGUUAGUGGUGGCCUUGGCAAUAUUUGGUUAAUGGUUGAACUCAGUGAUCUUAGAGGGCUUUUCCAACCUUAGCUUGAAGGAAAAGCCAUCCCACUCUCCAGCCUCAUUUGUUGCAUGUAUAGAGCAAUAAGUGAAAAACCACGGUAUUUGUACCCCCUGUUUGCACUGGACUGUUGCAUUUGUAGCCCUGAUAUCGAGCUUUGGGAGCCCACCCCUGAAAUUCCUGCCUUUUUGCAGGCUUUGGGCUCAUUUCUUCUUGUUUUCUCAAUAAUUAUAUUUGUGGUUUCAUUCUUACCAGACUGUUUUCUUUAAUUUAUUGAGAUUUAUCCUCCAGGUUUGAAAGGGAAAUCCUUUGGUUUUGUCAGUUAGGUGUUUAGUCACAACAAGUCACAUGUGAGUGUUUUUCAUCAGUGGAGAGAGGCGGAUGCAGCUGGAGAAGGCAACUCCAAUGUGUUGGGGAGAGAAAGGCUGCUGGGCUGCUCUCUCUGCACUAGUGUCCUGGGAAAGCUCGGGGAAUUCACUUUGAUGUAGAUAGAGCUGGGUCAGGGACAUCAGCAAAGGCUGUAGAGGAGUCAGAACUGUUGUACUUAUCAUACCUGCAGUUUAUGAAAUGAAGGAGUUAAGUUUCCCAACCUGACACAAGGGUAGCACCCUGUUAUUUGCUUAACAAAGAUUUUUGUGUCUGCGUCUCUCUAACCCAGUGUGUUUUAAAUUCACUGCAAAUAAUUCUUUCAGCUGUUUCCUAGACAUCCUGUCACGCAAAUGGAUAAAACAAUAUAGCCAGCUCAGUGGAAAAAACAAUAAAUUAUACAAUAAAAACGUAUACAGUGUACUCUUUGUGUUAGGGCCUGACUUGGCCUGUGUUACUCCAGGUUUACACCAUCAAAACUUGACUUCCAUGGUCAAAUAGUGGAAGGAGACAGUGGCACAUCAGGCUGGUAGCACUGGGAUUAUGCCAAAGUUUUAAAAAUUAUUAGGAAGAAAAUAGCCGUGAAAUCCUGCAUAUGAAGUUCAUUACUUUCUGGUAAUGGUGACUUUGGUAGGAUUAACAUUUAGGAAAAUAUUUCUUCUUAGAACAUUUUCAUAUGCAUAUUUAAAAACUGGAAAUCCACUGUUUGCACAGGAAUGCCAUUAGCAUCAUAAAUCAAACUGCACUGUUAAAGAAUGUACUAAAAAAAAUGAGGAAUUAAGAGAAAUGGUCUAUUUUUUAAUCAAUAAGCCAGGGUAAAAUAUAUAUAUUUAAUAUAAAUUACUACUUCUGGAAGCUGUAAACAGCACGUACCUCCAUACUAGCGAUGGAUUUGGAUGCUCUCAUUUUCUCUCCGGAGGUACUUGCCUCUCUCCCCUGGUUGCAUUUGAUAUUGAGACUCCUAAAAGCAGGCACCAGGCCAGGCACCCAAUGGAGCUCCAAGAAGAUGAUAAUUAAGUAAGAUCAAAUCCUGACAAUUUUUUACGGAGAGCGAAACUCAAAUGUACAAAUUACCUGGGAAUGCUGGAAGUUGAUGGUUUCCCCAUGGGACAAGGCUCAUGGAGCAGGGAGGUGAACAUGGGGACUGUAUCAGGUUAACAUCUGGCAGAUCGUGAUUUACAGAACCCAAGAACGGGGCACGCAACACGGUGCUUUCAAAGAUCUUUGUCCCUGUUCCAGUUUAAUUUCCUCCCAGCCCCUCAUAUACAGACGGAGCCCCUUUCCCAUCUGAUCUCUAUAUAAAGAAAGGUGAAUGAUGUGUGUGAGGAAGCCGAGGAGGAUGCCGCAGGGCCAGCCCAGCAGCCCUAAGUAGGUGUUGCAGCGUGCCCCUGAGGCAUUUCUCCAGGCUGUUCCAGGGACCUUCUGGGAGCUGGUGGGAGAAGUGACUUUCCAGGCUGAGCUGGGACUCAGUCUGUGCAGAAACAACCCACAAGAUACUGGGCUGUGCUAAUUACGGAGGUGAAUAUGGGUUGUGCAAACUCUCCAACAGGCUCAGGUCUCCAAAUAUCCAAAUUUGUUCCAUAGGAACCAUGGAGCAGCCACUGAGCAUUCGGUGUCAAUCUGCUUGUGUUUAAGCUCGAGGAGUGGGGGAUUGGUGGCCAGGCGCCAGACCUGGGCUGCCAGAAGAGCUCAGAAGUUUCCUGAUCCCGCUCCCCACCUCCCAUCUCUGAAGGGAGCUGCCGCCUCUUUCCCAUGACAGCUUUGUCACCCGUCCAAAACGCAGGCAUUUGUCAGGAUGUUCUCUCCUUUCCUGUGAUGGAAGAGACUCUGUUUCUGCCUUGUGGCGGGGAAGAACUUGGGCUUUUGUGGUCUUCCCAUGCAUAGACUCAUUAUUUUAGGGAAUAGGCAGCAGCACCACCGUGCUCAGGACCAGAGUGGCAGAUUCCCGGAUGGAAUCAGACCCUUCCACACAUACGCAUGUGCAAGGCCAUUUCUGCAGGAGUGCCUUCUAUUCCCAGCCAGUUGGCUCCCCAAGAACCGAUGCAUUUGCAAAUAUCCACUUAAUCACUUUUUGCCCCAACACAGGACAAUGUUCAGUGUGUUCUCAAAGGCAGCAUUUAAUCCCCAACCCCCGAGUGCACUUUUACUCCACUCCACAC